GCCUACAGCCAUGCCACCCUGAACACGCCCGAUCCCAUCUGAUCUUGGAUGUUAAGCAGGGUUGGGUCUGCUAAGUACUUGGAUGGUAGACCACCUAAGAAGACCAGGUGCUAUAAGCA
rnacentral:rRNA from 1 species